rnacentral:rRNA from 1 species
AUGAACGCUGGCGGCGUGCCUCAUACCUGCCAGUCGAGCGCACGGACGAGAAGCUUGCUUCUCUGAUGUUAGCGGCGGACGGGUGAGUAACACGUGGAUAACCUACCUAUAAGACUGGGAUAACUUCGGGAAACCGGAGCUAAUACCGGAUAAUAUUUUGCACCGCAUGGUUCAAAAGUGAAAGACGGUCUUGCUGUCACUUAUAGAUGGAUCCGCGCUGCAUUAGCUAGUUGGUAAGGUAACGGCUUACCAAGGCAACGAUGCAUAGCCGACCUGAGAGGGUGAUCGGCCACACUGGAACUGAGACACGGUCCAGACUCCUACGGGAGGCAGCAGUAGGGAAUCUUCCGCAAUGGGCGAAAGCCUGACGGAGCAACGCCGCGUGAGUGAUGAAGGUCUUCGGAUCGUAAAACUCUGUUAUUAGGGAAGAACAUAUGUGUAAGUAACUGUGCACAUCUUGACGGUACCUAAUCAGAAAGCCACGGCUAACUACGUG